rnacentral:rRNA from 1 species
UGGGGAAUUUUCCGCAAUGGACGAAAGUCUGACGGAGCAACGCCGCGUGAGUGAAGACGGCCUUCGGGUUGUAAAGCUUUGUUAUUUGGGAAGAACGACUCGUUUGUGAACAAUGAACGGAAGUGACGGUACCGAAAGAGAAAGCCACGGCUAACUACGUGCCAGCAGCCGCGGUAAUACGUAGGUUGCUAGCGUUGUUCGGAAUUAUUGGGCGUAAAGAGCGCGUAGGCGGUAUGGUAAGUCUGUCUUAGAAGUGCGGGGCUUAACCCCGUGAGGGGACAGGGACUGUCAUACUGGAGUCUCAGAGAGGAAAGCGGAAUUCCUAGUGUAGCGGUGAAAUGCGUAGAGAUUAGGAAGAACACCGGUGGCGAAGGCGGCUUUCUGAACGAGCACUGACGCUGAGGCGCGAAAGCGUGGGGAGCGAACAGG